GCUAGUGCACUUAUCUCUCUCUAUCUUUCUCUGUCUCUGUCUCUCUCCAUGACUUAUGUAUAUUCUACUACAUGCUAUCUGCAUACACAAAUGAUACUCUCUUUUUACAUGUUUUCUUUUUCAGCCCUUUUUUCUGCAUACUUUACAACAGAAACGAAAGGAGAGUGAUCAAGUCUUAUUUAAACAAAAGUUUUAUAGCAAAAAAACCCCAC
rnacentral:lncRNA from 1 species